rnacentral:lncRNA from 1 species
CUACACACAUGCGAACUGGCUUUUGGUUUCAUCCAAACCUAAACUGCUUGCUACCAAUGAUAUAUUUUAGAACAAAACAAUUUCGCCCCUGAUCAGACCUUCAUCAACCUUUUCUGUGAACUUCUCAAUUUACAGACAAGGAUACCAAUUCUCUUGUGUGUACUAUAUAUUGUAACAUUACUACUUAAAGGCAGAUAUCCAA